rnacentral:sRNA from 2 species
GGACCGGUGUUAAAGACGAAAUUGCUCAUGAUGAUGCCAGAUGCUGUAUCAAGGGAUACCCAUGCUGCCAGAAAUUGAUCGAGAAUCCCAAAGCUCUUGAAUAUGGGCUCAUUGACAGUUUGGCUUGAUUCAACGGCUGUUCUGUGCAUCAAGAAUGUGUUGCGACUAUUUCAUUAUCCCUUCAGCUUAUUUAUUUGUGUCUCACCUUGAUUUACCAAUAACUUCCACCAGGUGAAGGCAUAAUGGUCAGCUAAGAAACGAGAAAAAUCUCUGUUCCCCUCAAGGAAGCGGAACCAGUUGUCAACUUCG